rnacentral:rRNA from 1 species
AUUGAACGCUGGCGGCAGGCUUAACACAUGCAAGUCGAACGAGUGGCGGACGGGUGAGUAAUGCUUGGGAAUCUAGCUUAUGGAGGGGGAUAACUACGGGAAACUGUAGCUAAUACCGCGUACCAUAGGAUGUGCCCAAGUUGGCUUAGGUAGUGGGUGAGGUAAAGGCUCACCAAGCCGACGAUCUCUAGCUGGUCUGAGAGGAUGACCAGCCACACUGGGACUGAUACACGGCCCAGGCUCCUCCGGGAAGCAGCAGGGGGGAAUAUUGCGCAAUUGGCGCAACCUGACGGAGCCAUGCCGCGUGAAUGAAGAAGGCCUUCGGGUUGUAAAGUUCUUUCGGCAGCGAGGCGUUAGCUACAGAAGAAGAACCGGCUAACACCGUGCCAGCCGCCGCGGUAAUUC